AAGAGUCACCAGGAGAAACAGAAAAGGCCAGCGACCAAACACCCACGGAGAAAGUGCUAGUGCCUCGGACUGCAGUAGGGUUAACCUCCUGGGUCCCAAUCCAGAGCGUCGGGAGGGCUUGGCUCUUUCAGCAGGCACUGGGAAGAUUUCCAACUAGCCCUCUCCCCGCGGUGGCCCUGAGGCCCUCACUGUACGGACACAAGGAUUUGUUCCAGACAUCCAUGAACAAACCAGAACGAAGCCCUUUCCCGCCAAACCACUAGGGCUUGGAAAUACACAGAAUACACAGUGCCGGCCCAAACUCUGGGAGCGGGAACCCGGGAGAAGACUUGAGCGGCUCUGGAAAAACUGGCAGGAAUUUCCUUGUCGUGAGAAGACCGACGAGCGUCUGCAGCAGAGACAACUACAAACAGACUUAGGGCCGGGAAGGAGGGCGGGAGGAGGGGUGGCGGGGGCCAGCUUUGAUCGCUUCAACUCUGUUGUAAUUUUGUCUUCACAUUAGCCAAAAUAGUCAGCCCUAGCUAGGAGUGCUGUUCCGCGGAGUCCCCUCUCACCCCACCCUUCCACCCCCACGUCAUGUGCACGCGGGGAGCUAGGUCGCCGCUCCUCCCCGAGUCGCGCCUGAAACUUCAAGGGCUAAUGGUUCUGUGUUCCUGCCACAAUUAGGAGCCCACACAGCUCUCCAACACUGCGUUAAACAAGUAUGUAAGUCA